GCCUCCUUGGCGAGCCUCUCCUCCUCCCCCUCUCCUGGGGCUUGGGCCCGUAUCCUUGCAGCCCCGCAAGCGCCUGGGCCCGGCGAGGGGCAGGUCAGGGCUGGGGGUUUUGCCCUCUGCCCUGGCUGCUGACCCGCCCCAGCCCAGGCAGCUGCAGGGGGAAAAGCCACACUCUCUUCUCCUGCACCUGCAAGCCCUUCUGAAAUGCAGCCCGUGCUGCAAGCUCCUGGCACAGUAGGCACCAGGAUUUUUCCCUGCUUUAAUUGUCCAGUUGCUUAGGACUCAGAACUGGUGGCAGAGAUGAUAUCUUUCAUUAGACCUACUAGAUAUUUGCAAAAAACAAAAGAAGAUUUGCAAGCUUUUGGGCACACUUGCCCUUCCUCAGGCAUAGGAGAGCAAAGAUUGUAAAAUUUCUCCUAAGUGAAAAUGAGAACUCGCAUUUCACAGGGGAGCUGGAAGUGUAAGAUCGAGUGUUUUGGCUGAGACAAGAGCUUGGUUCUUUGUCCAGCUCUUUUCCCCCUCCUGCUUGGGGGCCAUCCCGGGUGCCUCGGUUUCACUCUGUGAAAUGGGGAUAAUGCUGCUGACUGACCCACUUUUCACCCCCCGGGAUCAAAGAUGCGAUCCGAGUUCAAAGUGUGGCUGCUGUAGGGUGUUAUUGCCAAAUUUAUGAUAAGCGCUUCCAUUGGGUAUUUGAUAACAACAGGAGAAUCAGUCAAACGCUCUUGAUGCAUCGCAUGGUCCCAGAUACCUUUAAGAACCUCUUUGUGUGCCAUCCCACCCCCUGAGGUCCGGGAGGAUGGGGCUGGUGGAGCCUGGAUUGCAGGAGCAGAAGGGGUACAGUCUGUGUCCUUGCCUCAGGCCCCUGAACUGUGGAACGCUUUUCUUUUUGACCUGAAGAGGACUACUGGAUUUAGCCCCUUUUAAAACAGAUUCUUAUAACAUGCAUCAAUGUUACAUGCCUGAAUACAAUUUGUGUGAAUUCAGCAACAGUUUAAGUUUAUAUUUAAGUUUUCAUGGAAGUCAGUUCCUAGUUCCUUACAGACGGAUGCCACUAACACACUGCAGCACUCCAAAGCUACAAGGACAGGAGGCUAACUAAAGGCAAACUCCAUUUUUAUUUUUGCAUUUGAACGCAAAAACUAUAUUCUUGCAUGUAAAACUAAAACCACGUAUGCAGACCUGCCUGUUUGAAGCCUUGUGAAGAGGUUAAACUGAGGGUGAAAUUUAGAGCUAAAUUGUGCUGAUUUUAUUAGCUUUCCAUUUGCAUUGACACAACAUAAAUUACUUCCUUUUAAAAUGUAAUCAAAGCAAAUUAUAUCCCGUGUGUUUUAAACAGCUGGUAAAACUCAUGAAAUUUUUUAUUCUGGGAUAUAAACAAGUAGAAUCUCCAUGUGUGUCUGUAUCCUAAAAGCAGCUAUAAAACAAUUUUCUUGGACACUGCAGAGAUUUCAUCUCUAUUUUGCCUUAACCUCACAGUAAUUAGAAGGAUCAUUAUUGCUGAAACACUACCUGCAUGGCAUUAUGUGAGGGUUGGUGAAUGCUUACUCACAAGUAGUCCCAUAAAAGUCAAGUAGAUUACUUAUGAACAAGUGUAAGGUUGCACAAUGGGAUUCUAAACUAGAAUAUCAGAUAUUUGUUCCCUUAAUAAUAAAAAGCC